rnacentral:misc_RNA from 1 species
GUUUCAUUUUCUUUAUUAUCUUCAACAUUGUGCACUGUACUUUUUAUCCGACAGGAAUUAAAGUUGCCAUUUAGUGAACUCUUAGUUUUUCACAUGCUGCACUCUUUGAUCAGCUAAUGUGACAAUGGUGCCAUGUGGUACCUUGAGUUCAACUCUUAUUAACUUUAAUAGGUUCUUUGUUUUAUAUCAUUCAAUGUGCAUCUCUCAAUAAUCAUUGUAUUGUAU